rnacentral:rRNA from 1 species
GACGACCGGCGCACGGGUGCGUAACGCGUAUAGAACCUACCUUUUACAGGGGAAUAGCCUUUAGAAAUGAAGAUUAAUGCCCCAUAGUAUUGCGAAGUGGCAUCAUUUUGUAAUUAAAGAUUUAUCGGUAAAAGAUGGCUAUGCGUCCUAUUAGUUAGUUGGUAAGGUAACGGCUUACCAAGACAUCGAUAGGUAGGGGUCCUGAGAGGGAGAUCCCCCACACUGGUACUGAGACACGGACCAGACUCCUACGGGAGGCAGCAGUGAGGAAUAUUGGGCAAUGGAGGAGACUCUGACCCAGCCAUGCCGCGUGUAGGAAGAAUGCCCUAUGGGUUGUAAACUACUUUUAUACAGGAAGAAACACUGGUAUGUAUACCAGCUUGACGGUACUGUAAGAAUAAGGACCGGCUAACUCCGUGCCAGCAGCCGCGGUAAUACGGAGGGUCCAAGCGUUAUCCGGAAUCAUUGGGUUUAAAGGGUCCGCAGGCGGUCAAUUAAGUCAGAGGUGAAAUCCCGUAGCUCAACUACGGAACUGCCUUUGAUACUGGUUGACUUGAGUCAUAUGGAAGUAGAUAGAAUGUGUAGUGUAGCGGUGAAAUGCAUAGAUAUUACACAGAAUACCGAUUGCGAAGGCAGUCUACUACGUAUGUACUGACGCUCAUGGACGAAAGCGUGGGGAGCGAACAGGAUUAGAUACCCUGGUAGUCCACGCCGUAAACGAUGGAUACUAGUUGUUGGGCAUUAGCUCAGUGACUAAGCGAAAGUGAUAA